rnacentral:rRNA from 1 species
GAUGAACGCUAGCUACAGGCUUAACACAUGCAAGUCGAGGGGCAGCAUGGUCUUAGCUUGCUAAGGCCUAUGGCGACCGGCGCACGGGUGAGUAACACGUAUCCAACCUGCCGUCUACUCUUGGACAGCCUUCUGAAAGGAAGAUUAAUACAAGAUGGCAUCAUGAGUCCGCAUGUUCACAUGAUUAAAGGUAUUCCGGUAGACGAUGGGGAUGCGUUCCAUUAGAUAGUAGGCGGGGUAACGGCCCACCUAGUCUUCGAUGGAUAGGGGUUCUGAGAGGAAGGUCCCCCACAUUGGAACUGAGACACGGUCCAAACUCCUACGGGAGGCAGCAGUGAGGAAUAUUGGUCAAUGGGCGAGAGCCUGAACCAGCCAAGUAGCGUGAAGGAUGACUGCCCUAUGGGUUGUAAACUUCUUUUAUAAAGGAAUAAAGUCGGGUAUGGAUACCCGUUUGCAUGUACUUUAUGAAUAAGGAUCGGCUAACUCCGUGCCAGCAGCCGCGGUAAUACGGAGGAUCCGAGCGUUAUCCGGAUUUAUUGGGUUUAAAGGGAGCGUAGAUGGAUGUUUAAGUCAGUUGUGAAAGUUUGCGGCUCAACCGUAAAAUUGCAGUUGAUACUGGAUAUCUUGAGUGCAGUUGAGGCAGGCGGAAUUCGUGGUGUAGCGGUGAAAUGCUUAGAUAUCACGAAGAACUCCGAUUGCGAAGGCAGCCUGCUAAGCUGCAACUGACAUUGAGGCUCGAAAGUGUGGGUAUCA